GUCCAGUUGCCAAUCGCUGGAAUCCCUCCAGUGGCGUGAGAACCAAUCUGCGACGAGAUUGUCGGAGCCCGGGAGAUAUUCCGCACGAAGGGAGAUAUUCCUGUCCAGGCAGAAUUGGUACAAUUCCUUCGUCAGAUCUGAUAGCAUCUUUGAUCGCGAGCCACCUAGGCGGUUCACAUAUUGUACUGCUGAGACGUUGUCCAUCCUCAGGAUGAGGCUGCAGUUG